GCCAGGCAUGGUGGUGCAUACCUGUAAUCCUAGGGGCUCUGGAGGCUGAGGCAGGAGGAUCGUGAGUUCAAAGUCAGCCUCAGCAACUUAGUGAGGUGUUAAGCAGCUCAGUGAGACCCUGUCUCUA
rnacentral:sRNA from 1 species